UUGCAUGGGGGAAAUUGAAAGGCAAUUGAAAAAGCAUUGAGCUCAAAUGUUGUGAAAGAAAAAUACAUGAGAAAAAGAAAAGAAAAGAAGAAAAGCAUGAAGAUGGGCUCAAUGCAAAAGAAAAGGGAAAAAGUUAGGAAUAAGUGAGAUUGGUGAGGAAGAGAGUUGUGCUUAAAUGUUGAAUACUAUGAUAGCUCUCUUAACUCAAGGAUUUUGCAUUCUAGAAAAACCAAUUCUUCUUGUUAGCCCAACCUCAUUACAAGCCUUGGAAAAGUCAUUUUGAUGGCAUUUGCAUGUAAGGAUUUAGGUUGUUUAAGAUGAAGGGAAAUUUUGUUUCAUGUGACUUGUGAAUGAUAGAGUGUUGGAG
rnacentral:lncRNA from 1 species